CCAGAUGUGGUGCAGGCAUGCG
rnacentral:miRNA from 1 species